rnacentral:lncRNA from 1 species
GAAACGAGAACGAGGGCGUCGUGCCUUUAUAAGACUGCGUUAAUGUUUCCGUGGAGUUAUCCCUUCCGUUGUUUUUUUUUAUUGCUUGUCGAACAUGGCGUCAUUUGCAAAGGUUGUUGUGUGUCUCCUCAUUGCUUGUGUCUGUAAUGCAUUCUGUUUUCCGAAGAGAGAUGUGAACUUUAAGGCCUCUGCAGUUGACAGCCAAAGUGAUGAUGUGGUUGUCACCACAACACCCGUUCCCCACAACCAGACCACAUCUGCCCAUACUGAAGCUGGUGGUGGUGCAAGUGAAGAUGCUGUGGCUACUACCCCAGCACCUAAUCCACACAACCAGACAGCUUCUGAAGUUACUGAUGGAGCCAGUGAAGAUGCUGUGGACCGCCAAAGUGAUGAUGUGGUUGUCGCCACAACACCCGAUCCCCACAACCAGACCACAUCUGCCCAUACUGAAGCUGGUGGUGGUGCAAGUGAAGAUGCUGUGGCUACUACCCCAGCACCUAAUCCACACAACCAGACAGCUUCUGAAGUUACUGAUGGAGCCAGUGAAGAUGCUGUGGACCGCCAAAGUGAUGAUGUGGUUGUCGCCACAACACCCGAUCCCCACAACCAGACCACAUCUGCCCAUACUGAAGCUGAUGGAGCAGGUGAAGCUGCUGUGGCUACCACCCCAACACCAAAUCCCCCAACUACAUCUGACCACACUGCAGCUACCGAUGAUUCAAGUGAGAGUGCUGUGGCUGCCCAAACUGGAACUACUGUAUCCCAUACGACUGAAGUCUGAUUCGACUGCUCCUCUGGUCACGAUGACCUGAGUCACUGUCUGGACUUUUUGCCUCUACAUGUUGACUGCAAUAAAGGACAGAUUUGUUUUUUGAAUCA